AAUGGGCGCAAGCCUGAUCCAGCAAUGCCGCGUGGGUGAAGACGGCCUGCGGGUUGUAAAGCCCUUUAGGCGGGGAGGAACGGCGUCGUGCGAACAGUGCGGCGUUCUGACGUUACCCGCGGAAUAAGCACCGGCUAACUCCGUGCCAGCAGCCGCGGUAAUACGGAGGGGGCGAGCGUUAAUCGGAAUUACUGGGCGUAAAGCGUGCGUAGGCGGUUUGGUCAGUCAGCCGUGAAAGCCCCGGGCUUAACCUGGGAAUGGCGGUUGAGACGGCUGGACUUGAGUGGGCUAGAGGAUCGUGGAAUUCCACGUGUAGCAGUGAAAUGCGUAGAGAUGUGGAGGAACACCAAUGGCGAAGGCAGCCCCCUGGGUCGAUACUGACGCUCAUGCACGAAAGCGUGGGUAGCAAA
rnacentral:rRNA from 1 species